UUGUGAAAAAGCAUCUUCCUUUCAGCUGCAAGACAGACAAUGGUGCACUUGAGUGGGUCACUCAGGGUGAGCAGAAAGCCAUAAUACACCUCACACUGAUAUAGCCUGGCUCCCUGCUGAAGCCCUUUCAGCACAAAUCUUUACAUGAUGACCUACCCUUUGGAGUACGGCCACUUGUAUUUGCUGAUUUGUGACCCAUCCAGACUGACGUGCAGGCUAGAGAGCACCAGAGGAACCUGGGGUUCUCUGCUGCACACACCUGCAACCCACAGGCCUGGGUCAGGCAUCUACAAGGCAAGGAUCAACAGUGUGAGACUCAUACAUACUAAAAGCUCACAAGCUUCCCUUCAGCCUGUGAAGGUCUCUUUACAGCUCCAGCAGCAGCCUUCACCAGAGAAAUGAACUACUAAUCUCUGUGGACUGCCUGGCUGAAAACACAGAAAAGUGUGUCUGUUGCCCAAAAGACUACCUUGCCAGGAUCUACUGGAAUAAUCUGCAGGUGCAUACAUUUGGGACCUCUGGAAAGCCCCUUGGCUGCUUUGCUGUUGUUACUCUGUUCUGAAUGCUGCAAAUCACUAGAUAGUCAUAGGAUCUGAAAGCUGAGUAUAAAAUAAAUCACAGCCACAUUGUACCAAUUUUGGCCAAAAGUCUAGGGGUAACUGCACUAUAUAAUCUUUAAAAUAUUUUUUAUCUCUUGCUGUAAUAAACUAAAAUAUUUUUUAUUUCUUGUUGCAAUAAAUUUAACCUACCUUUGAUCCACUAACACUUGAAGUAUGAUUAUUUUAGAUUUUGAUAACAUUUUAAAUUCUACUAAUCACCAACUAUUCCUAUUUGAAAAAUGGUUUGUCUUUUAUUUUCAAUGAAGCUUAAAAUAAAAUUUUUUUUUUUUCUUUCUGUCAUUGUUUUUGCACCAUUGAUGGUUUCAUUCAUGUCAGCACAACUCAUAAAUGAGUUUUAGAUGAGUUGAGCUGCUUUUGCUGACUAAAUUUGCAGCAGCAAAGCAUAAAGCAUUUUAGGCUCCACAAAAGCAGUCUUUUUAUUAUUUCUUAUUGAGAGGCUGGUGGUCUAAAAAUAAAAUAGAUACAUAGAUUUCACUAUGAUACUUUUUUUUUUUGUAAUCUUCACACAAUGAGGAAUUUCUCUGCACUAGAAUAAUUAUCAGAUUCUAUAUAGAUUUUAUAGAAGGUAUAUAGAUUUUAUAGAAGGUAUAUAUAUUUUUGCCAUUUGGCACCUGCAAAACAUGCAGUGUAGCAUAUACCUAAAGUGUAAACUGUUACAGUCACACAAGAUUGCCUCUACAAUAAAGAAAUACAAUACCCAGGCAAGCAAUAUAUAUGCAUAUAGUAUUCGUAAUAUAUGUAUGAGUGUAUACACAUAGGUACACCUAUAUUCAUUCACAUAAAAUAGUUAUUUUGCAAUAGCUGUUGAUGUGUUCUGUGGCAUGUGACAGUUCUCUUGGUGAAAUUAAAUGCACAUCACACUUUGUCUUUUCAGCUGUUGCAUGCUGCCUAGUUUUCAGUUUGGCACUGUCUAGGUAUGCUGUCACAGAUUGAAAGUCACUAUGUGUGACAUGUUUUUCACCUGCCCUAAAAUGCUGAACUCCCUCCAUCAUUUUGUAUAACCAAUUUGCAAUUCAUUUAGUUCUCACACAGGGAAUUCUAAAAUAACUCAGUAAAAUGUUUACUGUUAUCAGUACUGGAUCUUAAAGCAAUGAGAAAGAAGUCCAGUUUUAGAAGCUUUUAGAUGCUACAAUUUCCAGAUUUCUGACCUACAGCACAGGAUGAGGGAUUAAAAUUAUGUAUGGAGGUUCUGCAUUUGAGUCUCUGAUAUUACUUUUAUGUAUUGACAUCUGGAACAAAAAGGAUUAGUUGUAUAAUUUAAUCCUAUCAAAGCCAGCUGUAGUUUCCCUCUUCUACACUGUGUUAAACGCAUGGAAGCUUCAUGCAAUAGCAUAUGACUGUCUAACAGUGAUUACAUGACAUGGAAGGGAUGGCGACUUAGGACAUAUGAUAUAAACAGCUUUGCAGCACAUCAGUUGAUUUUUUCAUUUGAGGCCACGAUUCACUUUUCAGUGUACAACCUUUUCUAUGUUUUAAUGAGUAAGGAGUAUUUUAAGGCUGUCAUCUUGCUCUCACAAAACAACCUUUGAUGUAAAAGGGCUUUACAGGUAUCUCAUAAAAAUCUCCUGGAAUCUGUUUUCCUGUUUUUAUUUUAUGCAGUAGUAUAACAAAUAAUGAGAAUAAAGAAGAAGAUAUUGACUGAUACGACAAGUAAAGAUGAGAUGUAAUUACUUGCCUUUAUCAAGAAUACAAGAAGCGCAGAAUACUAUCUUGAAGUAAAUUCUUAGUUUUAAGGUAAUAAAACUUAGACAAAAUGCAUCCCACCUUGUAAUGUGCCUUUAGAGAGCCUCUGCAUCUUCAGCUUCCUCCCUGGGGCUGAUUCUUUAUUAACACUGAGUAACACUUCAUGUUGCUAACAAUCUUCAUGAUAACUUUGCAAUGCCAUCAAAUACUUAUACAUCAUCCCAAAAAUUACGUUUUUUACCCUUACCUCAUGAAAUUAUUAAUAAUUGUACAUAUCAAACAUCUGAAGAUUAACUGGACAAUAAAUCAGUAGUUCAUGCACAAUACACAGUAUUAAAUAUUAGGAUUUCCCGUUGUCACUAGCAAAAAAAGCUGUUCUUUACAGCUGACAUUUGUAAACCUAUUGAGUUAUGAGUUUGGUUUUUUUUGUUUAUUUGUAUUUUCCUGAACAAUAAAUAAGGUGAUCUUUCAAUCUUUUCUCUUAGAUUCAGUCAUAUGAUAAAUGGAGGAAGUAGUGUGGACAAGUGUUUAAUUUUUAUAAUUUGGGCCUAAGUUGCAUUCAAGACUUCACAUAUUGAGCCUACUUUGAACGCUGUGGGAGACGUCAGUAGGCAUAUAAGAUUACAAAUUAAUCUUACUUACACAGUAGGAGAAAGAUUUUACGUCAAGAAUAAGAAUUACAGAAGUAUAAUCAACUUAUUGGCUUAUUACAUAUAUUAGUUGCACUGUAAAACAUGAAACACUCAGCCAGCAUAAAAAUAGAGGUAAACAGUGUCCAAGACACAAGUAUGUUUUCACACAGCCAUUCUGAAACUAAUGCAGAUAUUCUGGAUGGCUCUUCAGGGUCAAAAUACCUAUUAAUGAGUGUAGCAUUAAUCAUGUAUGCAAUUACUGGGAGGAUCAAAGCCUAAAAAACAUUCACUUUCACAAUUAUAGACUUAACUGAACAGCAUAGCACGAAGUUGUAAGGGAAGCACGCACAUUUUACUUCAAAUAACAAUGGAUUUUCCAAGUGGCUACCAUACCCUGCAGGUUCCUUUCCUAAGACAAAAUUCACUGUGGAUAAGUUCUUGUUUACAGAUGAGUCCUUGCACAAGGAAUUGCACAUUUUAAAAUUGGGCCUUAGCCCUCCAGUAAGAUUUCUGCACUGAAUAUCCCUGUGCUCACACCAAGCCCUGAUAAAACUUGUGGUACUUACAAGGACAGCAAACUUUGUAUUAGCUGUUACUACAGACCAGAACCAAAUGGAGGAUAUAAUUUUAAAUUCCACUUUAGUGAAACCUCUAUCACAGACUAAAUUAAUUAAUAAGUUUUGAAAAGUCUAGAGAAAAUAGAAAAUCUGCAUUUUAUUACUUUUCUUUUUCUCUGAAAAAAAACCUUUGGGUUGAAAAAGCUUUUAACAGAUUUGUAUGAAAGGGGACAUCUGGAAAUCUGUUUUUUUAACAUUUCUUUUUCAUUGUUUUGAAAUGACUUUUUGCUUUAUCAAAUGCCAAAACUGGAGAGAAAUUAAAAAAUAAUGUAAAAAUCCAAAUGAAAUAUUUUUAACAAAACUUUAUGAAUAUGGCAAUUUGUUUCCAUUCUUUUCUUUCAGUGGUGAGAUCAAUGAACUUUAGCUCUGGGUCAAUAUACAGCAGUGCUUUGGGGUUUGUAAUUCUUUUGUUCAGGCAAUGAACUGGGAAAAAAAUUAAAUAAAAGCAAUUAUUUGCAAUUCUACUACUCUAAUGCCAACCAUAAAAUCUUUUAUUUGAAAAGCUACCAGCUUGGCAACUACAUAUCCAAUACAAAACAAAGAAAACAAGAAAGCAAUAACAGUAGUCUAUCUACCUUUCCAGUUUUACCAUGAAAAAUGUACUUCUCUAUGCAAAACGUCUCUAGAUCAAUGACACAAAUGCACAUUUCUUACUUUUCUAUGAGAGUGUAUGCAUGUACAGCUUUCUCCAUCUGUCAUUUCUGUUUUACAUAGAGUCAUGAUAUUUACAUUUCAACACACCAAAUGGCAAAAUAUCUAUUACUCAAACAUAAUAUUUGAUUUUGUAAUUUCCUAAAAGGUUGAGUGCAUUUAACCAGAUACCAUAUUUGAGCUUUCCAUAUGUAAUGAAACACAAUAGGAGUUCAUUAAUUCAGAAGAAAGGCAGGCACACUCAUGAUGUGACAUUAAAACACAGAAAAAAAGAAACAUGAAUUCCUUAUUGCACUUUGUUUCAAAGAAAAGAGAUCAGGAGAACAUUUACAAUAGAAAAAGUGUUUCUUUCAUAGAAGAAAGAUUUCUUUGGCAAUAUGAAUGAUAUUAACUAAUUCUGCCUUUGAAAUAAGCACUUUUCAUAAUAAAGCAACAAAUCAUGGUGAUAAUGAACAACCUAUACUGUGCUUGGUUUUUGUGACGU
rnacentral:lncRNA from 1 species